rnacentral:rRNA from 1 species
GACGAACGCUGGCGGCGUGCUUAACACAUGCAAGUCGAACGUGAUUUUUGUGGAAAUUCUUUCGGGAAUGGAAAUGAAAUGAAAGUGGCGAACGGGUGAGUAACACGUGAGCAACCUACCUUACACAGGGGGAUAGCCGUUGGAAACGACGAUUAAUACCGCAUGAGACCACAGAAUCGCAUGAUAUAGGGGUCAAAGAUUUAUCGGUGUAAGAAGGGCUCGCGUCUGAUUAGCUAGUUGGAAGGGUAAAGGCCUACCAAGGCGACGAUCAGUAGCCGGUCUGAGAGGAUGAACGGCCACAUUGGAACUGAGACACGGUCCAAACUCCUACGGGAGGCAGCAGUGGGGAAUAUUGCACAAUGGGGGGAACCCUGAUGCAGCGACGCCGCGUGAGCGAAGGAGGUUUUCGAAUCGUAAAGCUCUGUCCUAUGAGAAGAUAAUGACGGUAUCAUAGGAGGAAGCCCCGGCUAAAUACGUG